UUUCCUCCGUAAUACUCAAUUUCACAAAAUUGACUUAAAUUUUUGAGCAAAUUUUUACUUAUUAAAAAAUAAUAAUUUAUUUUAGGAAUACACGCUCAUUUAGACACCACAAAAGGUGUUGGUUCAUCUUGACAGCAGGACGGUGGCUAUGGAAGUCGGAAUCCGCUAAGGAGUGUGUAACAACUCACCUGCCGAAUUAACUAGCCCUGAAAAUGGAUGGCGCUCAAGCGUGUUACUCAUACCCCACCGUUAGGGUAAAAGCGAAGCUCUAACGAGUAGGAGGGCGUGGAGGUUUGUGAAGAAGCCUAGGAUGUGAAUCUGGGUGAAACAGCCUCUAGUG
rnacentral:ncRNA from 1 species